rnacentral:rRNA from 1 species
AGUGAACGCUGGCGGUAGGCCUAACACAUGCAAGUCGAACGGCAGCACAGUAAGAGCUUGCUCUUACGGGUGGCGAGUGGCGGACGGGUGAGGAAUACAUCGGAAUCUACUUUUUCGUGGGGGAUAACGUAGGGAAACCUACGCUAAUACCGCAUACGACCUCCGGGUGAAAGCAGGGGAUCUUCGGACCUUGCGCGAUUGAAUGAGCCGAUGUCGGAUUAGCUAGUUGGCGGGUUAAAGGCCCACCAAGGCGACGAUCCGUAGCUGGUCUGAGAGGACGGUCGGCCACACUGGAACUGAGACACGGUCCAGGCUCCUACGGGAGGCAGCAGUGGGGAAUGUUGGGCAAUGGGCGCGAGCCUGAUCCAGCCAUCCCGCGUGGGUGAAGAAGGCCUUCGGGUUGUAAAGCCCUUUUGUUGGGAAAGAAAAGCAGCAGGUUAAUACCCCGCUGUUCUGACGGUACCCAAAGAAUAAGCACCGGCUAACUUCGUG